UACAGAGGUGGCAAGCGUUGUUCGGAAUUACUGGGCGUAAAGGGCGCGUAGGCGGUUCCGUAAGUCUUGCGUGAAAUCCCCUGGCUCAACUAGGGAACUGCGCGGGAAACUGUGGGGCUUGAGUUCGGGAGAGGGAAGCGGAAUUCCGGGUGUAGCGGUGAAAUGCGUAGAUAUCCGGAGGAACACCGGUGGCGAAGGCGGCUUCCUGGACCGACACUGACGCUGAGGCGCGAAAGCCAGGGGAGCAAACGGG
rnacentral:rRNA from 1 species